rfam:Salmo salar isolate Sally breed double haploid chromosome ssa06, whole genome shotgun sequence.
AUCCCUGUAGCUCAGUUGGUAGAGCAUGGUGUUUGCAACGCCAGGGUUGUGGGUUCGUUUCCCACGGGGGGCC